rnacentral:tRNA from 1 species
AGCCCCGUGGUCUAGCGGCCAAACGCGCCCGAUCCGAUCGGUCGCGGGCCAGUGAUUCGAGGCUCUGGAUCGGCCGUCGAGGCCGAGGGGAGACCUCGCGACGGCAGUUCGAAUCUGCCCGGGGCUA